UGGUUCUCGCAUCGAUGAAGAACGCAGCGAAAUGCGAUAAGUAAUGUGAAUUGCAGAAUUCAGUGAAUCAUCGAAUCUUUGAACGCACCUUGCGCUCCUUGGUAUUCCGAGGAGCAUGCCUGUUUGAGUGUCAUGUUAACUCUCGGCCAUUAAGUUCUUUAAUGGUCGGACUAUGGACGCUUGCGGGAAUAAGCUCCGCUCGUCUUAAAUGCAUUGGCAGGUUGGCGGGAUUGGUCGGUGCUGCCCUGGCCGAGUUUGAGCUAUCAUUGCCUUCAGCGAGCCUUAGGCGCCCUUGCCAAUGUGGUCUUAUACACUUGAGGCAGAGUCUUGCAUAUUGACCACCUCUUUUUCGUGUGUGACCCCGUCCCGGUUAACUAGACGCGUCGGCGUCAAAUCUCUUGACUUUUGACCUCAAAUCAGGUAGGAUUACCCGCUGA
rnacentral:misc_RNA from 1 species